rnacentral:rRNA from 1 species
GACAGAGGGGGCAAGCGUUGCUCGGAAUUACUGGGCGUAAAGGGCGCGUAGGCGGGAUGGCAAGUCGGUCGUGAAAUCCCUCGGCUCAACUGAGGAGCGUCGAUCGAAACUGCCGUUCUUGAGGGUUGCAGAGGAGACUGGAAUUCCCGGUGUAGCGGUGAAAUGCGUAGAUAUAGGAAGGAAUACCAGUGGCGAAGGCGGCCUCCUGGAUCGAUACUGACGCUGAGGCGCGAAAGCGUGGGGAGCAAACAGG